ensembl:lncRNA
GCACCAGGGUACCCGUGCGCCAGGGGCAAAGGCCACCCUCUCCAGGUCCCAGGGCUGCCGUCUCGCCGAGCCCCAGCACACAGCCUGGCUCGGCGCCGUCGCCCUGCUCGUUCACCUCACACAUUCUCUCUGGGACUCGCCAUCUCUGCCUCCCCAGGCGCCGCCACUAGUGCUCUUGCCCUCCGGAGCUGCAGAGGAUGGGAUCCCACAAGCCCUCUGCCCUCCAGUUGCUAAUCCUUCUUGGCACAUGACCUUUCGAGGAUUCUUCACUGGGCCACAGAAUUCCUGUCAGCAAACCCCUGAGAAGAGGUGUCUGCAGCAGCCCCCAGGCGUCCAUGCAGCCCCGAUGCUCCCCUCGUCCUGGGCACCCUGUCCUCCGUCUUCCCCCUGUUCUCUGCCCCCGUGCUUCCGUCCAACCCACCACCCCACUUCAAGAGCUCCUCUCUGCUCACGUUUCCCCGUUCCACAGUCCUUCAUCCCAGAUUUUUCUCCUCCCCUCCCUUCACCUACAUUAAAAAGUUGAUAAUGAAAACAUAGGUUUUAAAAUACUCAACCAGCAUAAACUGAGAGAGAGUCACGGCAGACGGUGGCCCCCUCCUGCCAUUUUUUGGCAGCUGACUGAUGGCUGUGCAUGGGUAGAGUGGAGGGUCCGCUGAGGACCUGGUCUGUGCUCAUUUCGAGUCUCAUCUUAGACUCCUGGUAACAAUCCAUUCACACGUCAUGUGUUCAUUCUUGCAUUAUUGCUACAGGUAUAUUUUAAGUAACUACUGUGUGUGACGUGCUCUUGCACGGCCAUAAAGCAAUGAGAAACUUGAAAACGCCCUCGCAGAGGCCUCUCCACCGUCCCACUUCACGUCCACGCUCCCCUGUCCCCACCCUCCUGGGAACCCAGCCCCUUCCCAUUCACCCCCUUGGACAGAUUCUCCAUCCAAACGGGUAAACAGUCAUGGGAGAGUGACACUUCCGUGUCCCUUCCAGAGGGCACCUGCCACGAGAAGUGUAGAUAGCUGAUCGUCUCCAGGUGCCACACUUUUUUCUUUCUUCCUUCCUUCCUUCCUUUCUUUCUUUGGUGAGGAAGAUUGGCCCUGAGCUAACAUCUAUGCCAACCUUCCCCUAUUUUGUAUGUGGGACACCACCUCAGC